UCCUACGGGUGGGCAGCAGUAAGGAAUAUUGGACAAUGGAGGCAACUCUGAUCCAGCCAUGCCGCGUGAAGGAUGAAGGUCCUAUGGAUUGUAAACUUCUUUUGAACGGGAGAAAACCCUUGCUCGUGUAGCAAGGCUGAUAGUACCGUUAGAAUAAGGGUCGGCUAACUUCGUGCCAGCAGCCGCGGUAAUACGAAGGACCCGAGCGUUAUCCGGAUUUAUUGGGUUUAAAGGGUGCGUAGGCGGAACGGUAAGUCAGUGGUGAAAUCCUGUUGCUUAACAACAGAACUGCCAUCGAUACUGCCGAUCUUGAGUACAUAUGAUGUGGGCGGAAUGUGCCAUGUAGCGGUGAAAUGCUUAGAUAUGGCACAGAACACCGAUUGCGAAGGCAGCUCACAAAACUGUAACUGACGCUGAGGCACGAAAGCGUGGGGAUCAAACAGGAUUAGAUACCCGGGUAGUC
rnacentral:rRNA from 1 species